UUUAAAUUGAGAGUUUGAUCCUGGCUCAGGAUGAACGCUGGCGGCGUGCCUAAUACAUGCAAGUCGUACGCUAGCCGCUGAAUUGAUCCUUCGGGUGAAGUGAGGCAAUGACUAGAGUGGCGAACUGGUGAGUAACACGUAAGAAACCUGCCCUUUAGUGGGGGAUAACAUUUGGAAACAGAUGCUAAUACCGCGUAACAAC
rnacentral:rRNA from 1 species